rnacentral:ncRNA from 1 species
CUUAGGAUGGCAUAGCCUUAAAGUUAAGGGAAGGUUCAAACAAAGAAAUAUGCUUUGGGGAGUUACAAAUAAGCAUAGAUCCGGAGAUUCCCGAAUAGGCCAACCUUUCAAACUGCUGCAGAAUCCAUGGGCAGGCAAGAGACAACUUGGCAAACUAAAACAUCUUAGUAGCCAGAAGAUAAGAAAGCAAAAGCGAUUGUCGUAGUAGCGACGAGCGAAACGGGAGCAGCAUAAACCAUAAAAACGAGGUUAUGGGAGAGUAAUACAAGCGUCAUGCUGCUAGGCGAAGUGGUCGAGUGCUACAACCUAGAUGGUGAGAAUCCAGUAGCCGAAAGCAUCACUAGCUUACGCUCUGACUCGAGUAGCAUGGGGCACGUGGAAUCCCGUUGUGAAUUGACAAGGACCACCUUGCAAGGCUAAAUAUUCCUGGGUGAUCGAUAGUGAAGUAGUACCGUGAGAGAAGGGUGAAAAGAACCUCCAUCGGGGAGUGAAAUAGAACAUGAAACCCUAAG